rnacentral:rRNA from 1 species
AUUCCAGCUCCAAUAGCGUAUAUUAAAGUUGUUGCAGUUAAAAAGCUCGUAGUUGGAUUUCUGAUAGGGAGCCGAUCACCACUGUUGUGAGUGUUAGGCACCUGUCAUCCUUCUGUUAACCCCUGCGGCAUUCAUUUGUCGUUGGGCGGACCAGAUACUUUACCUUGAGAAAAUUAGAGUGUUUCAGGCAGGCCUAGCCGGAAUACAUUAGCAUGGAAUAAUGGAAUAGGACUAUAGUCUCGUCGUUGGUUACGUGGACUGCAGUAAUGAUUAAUAGGGAUAGUUGGGGGCAUUAGUAUUUAUUAGCUAGAGGUGGAAUUCUCUAAUUUGAUAAAGACUAACUUAUGCGAAAGCAUUUGCCAAGGAUGUUUUCAUUA